GCACCCACUACGUCCUAGGUACUCCUAGGGAGCCCUUUUCACACUUGUUGUAAAAGAUUGUUAUUUGUUAUGACAUAAAGAUUGUGCAAACAUGAUUGGGAUGAUGAGAAAAGAAUAUACAAUUUUUAUUAUUAUUGGGUAUUGGGUUCGAACGGAUGAACCCGUUGCCUACGUACCUUCCAUCAAAGGUAAGGAUCAGAACGCCGUAGUUCGGCUAAAAGAUUUCCA
rnacentral:lncRNA from 1 species